rnacentral:rRNA from 1 species
CCUACGGGCGGCAUCAGUGAGGAAUAUUGGUCAAUGGGCGCGAGCCUGAACCAGCCAAGUCGCGUGAGGGAAGACGGUCCUAUGGAUUGUAAACCUCUUUUGUCGGGGAGCAAAAGACGCCACGCGUGGCGUUCCGAGAGUACCCGAAGAAAAAGCAUCGGCUAACUCCGUGCCAGCAGCCUCGGUAAUACGGAGGAUGCGAGCGUUAUCCGGAUUUAGUGGGGUUAAAGGGUGCGCAGGCGGAAGAUCAAGUCAGCGGUAAAAUUGAGAGGCUCAACCUCUUCGAGCCGUUGAAACUGGUUUUCUUGAGUGAGUGAGAAGUAUGCGGAAUGCGUGGUGUAGCGGUGAAAUGCAUAGAUAUCACGCAGAACUCCGAUUGCGAAGGCAGCAUACCGGCGCUCAACUGACGCUCAUGCACGAAAGUGUGGGUAUCGAACAGGAUUAGAUACCCGAGUAGUC